rnacentral:lncRNA from 1 species
AUUGACAAAGAAAAAUUUACAUACAGUUAUACUGUACUUGAAGCUGAUGGAUUUAACGAUGUAAUCGAGAAAAUCUGUUGUGUCAUCAAAUUUGAACCCUCUGCUGAUGGAGGUUCAAUCUGCAAAACCACUAAUACAUACUACCCCAAAGGUGGUGCUCAGAUCAGUGAGGAACACCUCAAGGGAGGAAAAGAGAAGGGUUUGGGAAUGGUUAAGGCUGUUGAGGCUUACCUCCACGCAAAUCCUACUGCCUACAACUAAUUAAAAUGAAUGCUACUGAAGGACUCUUCGACAUAUUUUCUUCAAGAUUGAAGUAUAAACUGAGGGUGUCUGUUUCCUUUUUUGCUUGGUUUGCUUAAGCUGUUUGGUUAAGUUAUUCGCAGCAAGAGAAUAAAAUAAUUCACUUGCUGUUUUUAGAUAUGAAUUCAUGACUGUCAGUAGUCUAUAAAUACACUUAUUGCUCACCGCUCUUUGCACCGCAAAAUCUUUUCAAGAUCCAUCAAACCCUCCUGUUCUUGAUCUUUCUCCAUUUGUGAAAAAACAAAUUAAAGCAUCAUGGCCCCGAUCACUUGUAGUGCUGAGAUGACCUCCCCAAUGCCUCCUGCAAGGUUGUUCGAGGCCGCCAUCCUUGAUGACCACCUUCUUCCCAAGAUCAUGCCACAGGCUAUUAAGAGUGUGGAAAUCCUUGAAGGAGAUGGUGGAGUUUGAACCAUUAAUUUGAGCACAUUUGGUGAAGGUUAGAUGUUAUAUUAAAUGUAGAACCCCAAAUUUAAGGAUCGAAUAAUAAUCAACGCAUGUGGGGUUAUAGAAUUGAAGGGAUAAAACAAAUACUCAAAAUAUACGUGAAAGAAAAGAAAAUAAUAAAUUCAACUUACAAUAUUAUUAAAUUUUCAAACAAUGGAAAAAAUCAUACCACAAUAAAUUCAGCUGGUUCUAAUAAUAAUCAAAGCAUACAAGGUUACAGAAUUAAAAGGAUAAAACAAACGCUCAAAAUAUAUGUGGGAGAGAAGAAAAUAAUCAAUUCAACACACAAUAUUAUUGAAAUCUCAAACAAUGAAAAAAGUCACACCAUAAUAGAAAACCUUGCUUAUUCUUCUAGAUUCUUUCUCUUGAGAGACCAACCUAAAUAAUGUCCUAUUUAUAAUCUACCAAACUUGUUAAGAAAGAAACCACUUGCAUAAGAAAUUACGAAAUAAAUUAGAAAUUCCUAAAUCACACAACUACUAAAAACAUAACUCAAAUAAAACUAAAAAAUAAAUAAAUAUUUCUAGGCUUAGUUUAAUUUGUCAACAUUGCCUCCCUUAAACCAAAUUAUUCAUUGAGAUAGGUUCAACACCAUCUCGAGCAAUAAUUUCUAUGCAAAUCUAUGUUGUAGUACAUUUGACAUGAAACUCUAACUUGUUACCAGUUAUUAAUUUCAUUUUUACACGUAACAAUGGACGCACUAUAUAUUUUGUAAAAAAUUUCUCAGCAAUUUCUUCUUGAUCAAAGUACUCAUUUAUACAAACCCAUUCGUCACCAGAAUCACCAUAUUUACCACCAAUGUAAGUGCCUAAAAUUAAAAAAUCAUAGGUUGCUUUCUCGCUAAAGUUAUCAUCACCAAAUAAUUCAAAAUAACCACUACUACAAUUAUCCAAAAUUUUCAUACUGUCAGUCAACUCUUUUGGAGUAAAAUAUUUUUCAACUCCGAUGACAUCCAUAUCUAUCAAAUCAAACAUUCUCCCAUCACUUUGAAGAGAGUCCGAACCAACAAAUUUUUCAACAACAAUUUCAUGUUCUCUUCUUUUAUCAAAUCAAAAUUUUCUUCUUCUUUUGUCAAAUUACCAUAUUAUUUUUUUCAACAAAUUCAUUACUUCUAAUUUCUCCAAACAAGGUAUGCAAAUCAAAACUAUCAAUUGAUUCAAAAUUUUCGAUAUCACCCAUAUUAUGAACAAAUCUAUCAUUUUUAAAAUCCACAAACCAAUACCAACAACUAGACUUCAGUUUGAAAGCAUAAUUUCUCUCAAUCAUGUGCAAAACAUAGUAAAUAUCCUUCCAAAAUCUCUAAAGUAUUUUAGUAUGACCAAUAAAGGUUCUAUAAAUACUUUCUGCCAUUAUUUUACGCAUCACUUGAAAGAAUAAUUGUGCCUUUUUCUUAAAAACAUGUUUUGACAACUUACUUGCAUCAACCCAACAAAGAAUAUCAUCCAAAUUGCAUUGCUUGACAUAUUUUUCCACUGUUAAAAUCCAAUUAAAAUAUGUAUGUCUAUUUGUGCUUAUAGGAGUCAAUAUGAAAAAUUUUUCACCGUCAAUUAGAUCUUUAUAAUAUUCCAUUAUUUAACAAUUUCUAUACCUGAAUAAAUUUUUUUCCUCCAUCCUGUCAUGUUUUCUUGGCCUCCCUGGUUGACUAACCAAAUUAUUGUUGUAUGUAUACCCAUGCUCGUCAAACCUCAUUCGUGUACACUCGUAAGGAGUGGUUCUGAGCUUAUUGUGAAUGCUUAGUACCAAGAAGUAGAAGAGAGAAUGCAUAAGAGAGAAUUAACUUGGCUAAAGAAUUAGGAAACAAUUGAGGGAUUUUUUAAGAAAUUAAUUCUCCAACCGCCACUUUUGGAUCUUUUCUAUCUACAACUAGUUACCAAAACACUAGCACAUAGUAAGAAAUCGGGAUAAUUUCAGAAACCUCCCUUGAGGCUUUUAAUAAUCUCAAGAAGCUCCCCUCAAUAUUUUAAAAUUACACGUACCUUCCCUAUUGGAGCAAAAGUACUCUACUACCCCUAAUAGGAUACUCAAAAGACUUUUUUUAUGGGAAAAAAGAACCUCAGAAAUCCAAGCGAAAGCAAAAAAAUCAAUUUAUUUUCUCUUUUAGCCUUUAACGCUUUUGCCUUCUACCUUUGCUCACUUUCCCAUGCCAAUCUUCCUAUAACCACUUUCCCAAUCCCCUUUCCCCAACUUUUCUCCUCUACUUCAAGACUAAUUUUUGUCCAUCAAUCCUGGCUUGUGCUUUGUUCCAUUCCCUUCCCUUCUCCUUCUUUGAUUUCCCCUACAUCGCCCUUUCUCUUUGCAAAAGUGACUAGGCUCAUCUCUCUCUUUUUUCCCCUUAUUCUAAGUGUAGUGGGUUUGAUUAUUUUGCAUCUAUUUUAUUUGGUUUUGGUUGAUUAUGGGUGAUAAAACUUGGUGAUGUCAAAUAUCAAAAGUUUGAUAGAUGGAUAUUGGGCUUUAGACAAUGAUUUGCUAGAAAAAAAUGGCUGCAAUGAGAGGAAAAGGCAAGGGGAUUUGAAUGUGGGGUUGAUUGUUGAUGAAUUGUUGUUUUGGACAAAAUUUGAGGUUGAGUUUUGUCAAAUUUGGUAGCAAGUGGCGAGAUUUGUUCAGGUUUCGGGAAAUAAAUUGGAUUGUGGUUUCUUGGGCACCCACAGUUGUUGGAAUUGGUUUUGAUUCAAAUAAAGGUGGUUACUUGAUUUUCCUAAUAGUGUUGCUUAAGAGCACACGAUCAUCAAAAUUCCUUAUUUUUAUCUUUUUUUUUUUGUAGAAAAGAUUUCAUGACUUUCGUGAUAGUCUAAUUUGGAAGAAGGCAAUCAAGGGAUGCAAUCAACAUUUAGCAAAAGCUCUUGUUCUUUUCUUUCUAUUUUUUAGGGUAAAAAGGGUAGUUUAGGGUAUUUGAAGGAAAUGAUAGUCUAUUGGGUCUAUUUUGAAGCAUAAAUAGUGAACGUAAGGGAGGUUGGUGUAAUUUCUGAAACCUAAGGGGAAUUGUCUAAAUUGUCCGAGACCUCAGAGAAGGUUUUCGAAAUUAUCCCUAAGAAAUCAAAUGCGAAACUUGAUUAGUACACACACACACGACACUGCACCACGGCACGCGUGUGUUGAGAACUGAUGUCCGUAACCAACGACAAGCAGGUUUUCAAUUUUUUUUUCCUUUCCUGGAUUCUCCAGAGAUGGUGUCAGCUUCUAUUAUUGAUGAGCAGGAGGAAAUCCACAAUAUACAGUACACAUCACCCAUAUUCUUUUUAAUUGAACAAUGUAUGAAAUUAUGGUGAUUCGAAAUUAAAUUAUAUGUUUAUUGGGCAACGAAUCCAAAAUAAGAAUUGGAAAUGUAUUGUGGCAACAAUUGUUAACUUAGGCUACAAAUGAUCAAAAUAAAUAUUUAAGAUUUAAUAUGACAUUAUGGGUUCAAAAUAUAGUUACUUGUUAUGAAACAACUAAAAGUGUGGAUGUCCAUUUGUAUUCUCAAGAGGAUCAAUUCAUAAUUCAUUGCUCCCAAGAGGAUUAAUUCAUAAUUCAUUGCUACAUUAUGUGAAGGAAUUACAUUAGAUGAACGGUUUCAAUCCAUAAGAGCUAUUCAUGUAUUGGAUGAACCGUUUCACAUGGCUAUUCAUGUUCUUGUAGUAAUAAGUAUUUAAUAGAAUUGAUGUAUGUUUAAUUUUGUAGUACCUAUAUAUAGAGGUACCUUGGCACCUCUUGGCUGUCCUUUUUGAUUAAUUUGAAUAAUAAGAAAAUCAUUCUCUAUUUCUAUACUUCUUUCUCUAAUAUUUCAAUUCUUAUUAUAGUAGUUCAUUAUUUUUUUAGUUUUACAACACGUUAUCAGCACGAGUCUCUAUUUUUGAAUAAAAAACUGAAAAUGGAGCCUAUACCUUAAAAAAAGCAAAAAAUGUGAUUCUGCUGAAAUUCUGCAUGUAUUUUUCCGGCAACUUCUAUCUACUUAUUGAGAAAUGGAUGCCAAAUAUUUGGGAUUAAAUAAUGGUGAUGAUGACAUUUGUCUCAUUGAUUGUACUACUACGCACACUAUAUUGAAAAAAAAAAUUCUUGUAUGAAAAUGGGAGAGACAAAUGUUAAUACCAUAAGUGGUAGUGCAAAAUUGAUUGAAAGUUCUGGAAGAGCCACUCUAUUUCUUCCUGAAAGGACUAAAAUUGUCGUAAAUAAUGCACUACUAUCUCUCAAGUCUUGAAGAAAUUUAUUCAGUUUUAAAGAUAUCUGCGAAAAAUGGAUAUCAUAUCGGGACAAUAAAUGAGACAAAUGGAGAAUUUUUAUUAAUCACAAAUAUCAUUUCUGAGCAGAAAUACGUAGUAGAAAAAUUACCUUCUUUUUCUUCUGGCUUAUAUUAUGCACAAAUUAGUGCAAUUGAAAUUUAUCACCUAGGAGACCAGAAUUCUACUCAUCCCAAUAAUUUUAUGAUUUGGUAUGAUUGUCUCGAAAAUCCUAGAUAUAUAAUGAUGAGGCAAAUAAUUGAGAAUUCACAUGGUCACUCAUUGAAAAAUCAAAAGAUAUUAAAAGCAAAUAAAUUCUCUUGUGUUGCUUGUUCCCACGGAAAAUUAAUUAUUAGACCAUCACCAGUAAAAGUUGGGACUGAAUCCUCUACAUUUCUAGAACGAAUUCAUGAUGAUAUAUGUGGACUUGUAGAUCCACCAUGUGGACCAUUUCGAUAUUUUAUGGUGCUAAUUAAUGCAUUAACUAGAUGAUCACAUGUAUGUUUAUUAUCUACUCGCAACUUGGCGUUUGCGAGAUUGUUUGCUCAAAUAAUUAAAUUGCGAGCACAAUUUUCAAACUAUCCAAUAAAGAAAAUUCAUCUAGAUAAUGCUGGUGAAUAUUCGUCACAUGCUUUUGACGAUUAUUGCAUGUCCAUUGGAAUAACUGUUGAACAUCCUGUAACUUAUGUUCACAUUCAAAAUGGUUUAGCCGAAUCAUUUAUUAAAUGGCUAUAAUUAAUUACUAGACCAUUGUUGAUGAGAUCUAAACUUCCUUCAUUUGCUUGGGAACAUGCUAUAUUACAUGUAGCAAUACUUGUGAGAAUUAGAUCGACAAGUUAUCAUACUUAUUUUCCCCUAUAAUUAACUUUUGUUUUUGAGUCCAAUAUUUCUCAUUUACGAAUAUUUGGUUGUUCGAUUUAUGUUCUAAUUAUACCGUCCCAACAUCGUAAAUUAGACCCGCAAAGAAGAUUGGGGAUAUAUGUUGAGUAUGAAUCACCUUUAAUUAUUAAGUAUAUGGAACCAUUGACAGGUGAUUUAUUUACUGCGAGAUUUGCAGAUUGUCAUUUUGAUGAAUCACAUUUUUCGACAUUAGGGGGAGAUAAAAAUCAACCGAAAAAGAAAAUCACUUGAAAAAUAUCUUUGAAUUUCCUCGAUUCUCAUACCAAAGAAUGUGAACUAGAAGUUCAAAAGAUUAUACAUUUGCAAAAAAUUACAAAUCAAUUACCGGACGCAUUUAAUGACUCCAGAAAAGUUACUAAAUCACAUAUUCCUAUUGCAAAUGCUCCGAUUAAAUUAAUGUCUUUGAAGGACAAAUUACAAAUGUUAACGAGUCUAAAGCGUACCUAAAGCGUGGAAGACCUCUUGGUUCCAAAGAUAAAAAUUCUCGAAAGAAAAGAGGAGUAGAUGAAUCAACAAUUAGUGACAAAAUUCAACUUCCUGAAGAGGUCGCUCCUAAAGAGCCAAUUCUUGAAGAGAAUGAAAUUAUAGAAAAUUCAUUAAAUUUUGUCAUUUCAGGAAAAAGUUAGAAUCGAAAAGAAAUAAUUAUUGAUAGUAUUUUUGCAUAUAAUAUACCACUUGAUAUUAUGGUAGAGAAUAAGGAUCACGAGCCUAGAUAGGUUGAUGAAUGUCGACGUAGAAAUAAUUGGGCAAAAUGGAAAGAUGUGAUCCAAUCUGAAUUGAACUCACUGGUUAAAAGAAAAGUUUUUGGACCUGUAGUCCAAACACCUGAAGGUGUAAAGCCAGUAGGAUAUAAAUGGAUAUUUGUGAAAAAAAAAAUGAGAAAAAUGAAAUCGUGAGGUAUAAAGCAAGACUUCUAGCCCAAGAAUUUUCACAAAGGCUUGGAUUUGAUUAUGAUUACACGUAUUCACCUGUAGUGGAUGCUAUCACAUUUAGAUAUCUUGUGAGUUUUGCAGUACAUGAAAAAUCAGAUAUGCAUCUAAUGGACGUCGUUACUGCAUAUUUAUAUGAAAAUCUUGAUAAUGAUAUUUAUAUGAGAAUCCCCGAAGGAUUCAACAUGCCUGAAGCAUACAAAUCAAAUCCUAAAGAUAUUUAUUCUAUUAAAUUACAAAGAUUUUUGUAUGGGCUUAAACAAUCUGGACGUAUGUGGUACUGCCUCAAUGAAUGUUUAACUAAAGAAGGCCAUACCAAUGAUCCAAUAUAUCCAUGUGUCUUUAUCAAGAAAAAUGGAUCAAAUUUUGUGAUAAUUGUUAUAUAUGUUGAUGAUUUAAAUCUGAUUGAAACUCUUGAAGAGAUUAGUGUUGAAUAUUUGAAGAAGAAAUUUGAGAUCAAAGAUUUUGGAAAAACAAAAUUCUGCCUUAGUUUACAAAUUAAGCAUUUGAAAAGUGAAAUUUUUGUCCACUAAACUGCUUAUACCCCGGAAGGUAUUAUAGCAGUUUUAUAUGGAUAAGGCACAUACAUUAAGUACCCCAAUGGUCAGAUCAUUAGAUCCUAAUAAGGAUCCUUUUAGACUGCGAGAGGAAGAUGAAGAGAUACUUGGUCCUAAAGUACCAUAUCCCAAUACAAUUGGUGCACUAAUAUAUCUUACUAAUUGUAGAAGACCUGAUAUAUCAUUUGCAAUAAAUUUAUUAGCAAGAUUUAGUUCCUCGCCCACAAGACGACAUUAGAAUGGUAUUAAACAUAUUUUUCGUUAUCUCCAAGGAACAAUUGAUCUUGGUUUAUUUUAUUCAAAUAAAUCUAAGCUUGAAUUGCAUGAUUAUGCUAAUGCUGGAUAUUUAUCUGACCGGUAUAAAGCAAGAUCUCAGACUGGUUAUCUAUUUAUACAUGGAGGUACAGCCAUUUCUUUGCGAUCUACAAAGCAAUCGUUAGCCGCCACUUCAUCGAAUCAUGCUGAAAUAAUAGCAAUUCAUGAGGCUAGUCGAGAAUGUGUUUGGUUAAGAUCAAUGACCCACUAUAUCCGUAAGAGUUGUGGGUUAUCCUCCGAAAAAGAAAAUCCUCCAACUAUAUUAUAUGAAGAUAAUGUAGCUUAUAUAACUUAAUUGAAAGGAGAAUAUAUUAAAGGAGAUAGAACAAAACAUAUUUCACAAAAAUUCUUUUGUACUCAUGAUUUACAAAAGAAUGGUGAAAUUUAUGUGCAACAAAUCCGAUCAGAUAAUAAUUUGACAGAUUUAUUUACCAAUGCAUUGCCAACUGUAAUAUUUGAGAAAUUGAUGAAGAAUAUUGGAAUGCGACAAUUAUAAGAUCUCAAAUGAUAUUUGCAUCAGGGGAAGAAAUCAAUACACAAAAAUAGUGUACUAUUUUUCCAUCACUAGGGUUUUCGUCCCAUUGGAUUUUUUCCUAAUAAGGUUUUAAUGAGGCAUAUUCUUUAUGUAAUGGACAUCCAAUGGGGAGUGUUAUGAAACAACUAAAAGUGUGGAUGCCCAUUUGUAUUCUCAAGAAGAUCAAUUCAUAAUUCAUUGCUCCCAAGACGAUUAAUUCAUAAUUCAUUGCUACAUUAUGUAAAGGAAUUACAUUGGAUGAACGGUUUCAAUCCAUAAGAGUUAUUCAUGUAUUGGAUGAACCAUUUCAUAUGGCUAUUUAUGUUCUUGUAGUAAUGAGUGUUUAAUAGAAUUGAUGUACGUUUAAUUUUGUAGUACCUAUAUAUAGAGGUAUCUUGGCACCUCUUUAGUGUACUUUUUGAUUAGUUGGAAUAAUAAAAAAAUCAUUCUCCAUUUCUGUACUACUUUCUCUAAUAUUUCAAUUCCAAUUAUAGCAGUUCAUUUUUUUUUUUGGGUUUACAACAUUACUCAAAGAAGAGAGUUAUUGGACUAUAUGUUUAUUGACCUCUACUAACUUAUUUAAGGUCAUUUCAUAUCACUAUCCAAAGAAAAAUUCUUGGGCGUUAACAUUUUUCUUACAUGCCAAGACUAUUAAUGAAAGUUGACCCAAAUCUCUCUCUCUCUUUCUCUCAAUUCUUAGGACUGAUGCCAAUUCUUACCAUUUAGAAAGAAAAAUUAGAUUGUUUAUAUAUAUGAUGAGUUCCCUCUAAGUCAUGGUUAAGAAAAAUUCUUAGUUUUAUGAAAUGUGAAUUUCCUUUUCGUUGUCUUUAUUCAUUAGUAUUAUUGGGGUUAUUGUAUUAUGAUUGCAAUGCACAGAUACAUGGAUUUUUGACAUUUUUUUUCUCAUUUUUUCUUUUUAAUCGACUCUGACUAUGUCUCAAACUCGAGACAUCAAACCUGGACACGACUUUUGUCCAAAAUGCUUGUAAAAAAUCAGAAGAAUAAUUUUGGACCUUAUUAUUUAAUAAUGGUACGAUUAUGAGAGUCAUUCCAGGUUAAUUAUCAAACUUGUAACUUGAAAAUAAUGUCGACAUCAUGUCAUUAUUAUUUUCUAGUUUCAUAGAAAAAUGAAGUAUUCUCCAACUCGACAUUAUCAUAUUAUUCUCAAUUGGCAGCUCAUGUGAGAAAGACAAGAAAUUCACAAUCAACUGGCCAAGAGAGUGCCAACAAAGAAAGCACUAAAUGGCUUAAACAAAGCAUGCAAAUUUGCUUAGCACUUAAACAAUAGACACCUAAAUCAACCAUGUCACUGUCUUGCCAAAAAAGGGCAUUAAAGUAAAAACAACUCAUGCCUAACACAGGUAACAAACUUCAGCACCUUCACUUCACCGCCACGUCAUCAACAACAUUUGCAAAUUUCCAAGGAAGUCCACGCACUAAAGGUGCCCAUGCCCUUAGGGGACCUCAGGUUAGUGUUCUUAACAUCAACUCCUGUCUUUAUAUUCUUAGGAAAUAUUGAAAUUAAACAUUAUCACUAAUCCUGAUUUCCUUAUGCUAUAUUUGUACACAAUUUGGCAACAAGGUUGUCCUUUUUUGGGCCAAAUUGGACAAGUAAAAAAAAGAAAAUUAAAAGGUUUAUCUGCAAACUGUAGUUCGGCCUGCCUCUUUUUUUUUUUUUUUUGGGGAUAAGAUCGUCAUGUAUCAAUAUUUCUGUACUUAGCAUUGGCUUCUUCUCGCCUGAAGAACACACGAACCACCGGAUGAAAGUGGUGAAUGAAAGUGCACUUAACCCUUUUAAUUUUUCAAAACAAUGCUUUUAGAAAAAAUAAUAAAGACUUUUUUGAAUUUAAUUUUAGAGAAGAAGAAUUUUAAACUUUUUUGAAUUUAAUCUUACAGAAGAAGAAGUUUAAAAUGUACUUUAAUUUUCACAACUGAUGAUGAGAAUAGCAAAAUGUAUACGGACGGUGACAAAAGUGCCGUCUUAUCCUUUUGCUGACGGCCCGUUUUCCAAUGAGAGGAUGCCUCUGCUUCGUAUUUUAUCCAUAUUGAUAUAUAUUCUUUUCUGUCCCCCUAACUAUUAAAUGUGAAAGGUUGCCCACCAAAUUUGACGAAACCGUUUAUCCUAAUUGAUUAUUAUCCAUAGGGCAUAACUUUAAUAUUCUUCUUCCAACCCGUCCGUCAAUGACCACUAACCACCUCUAAUCUAUUCUCAAAUUUUAAUGAAAUUGCGCAAUUAGUUUUCAUUUCUCACUUUUAUUUCAAAUUUGGUCUCAAUUUAAUGUGAAUCCCAAUAAAUAAGACCGGAGUUGAAAUCAAAGAACGUAUUUCAAUCACCAUCGGAUAAAUUCUUCAUGUCUAGUUUUGUCCUUGAGAUGCAUAGAAAAUGUAAGCUGAUCUUGCAGUCUACGAGAAAAACGAAGUCUAAGAGAAUAAUUUUGUCAAAACUUGACAAUGGAAUGAACCGGUGGUCGCUGGUUGGCAGCUGCUAGAAGUCAUAGCAGUUUUAAAACAUAAUUGCAGCAAGUAAAAGAUUAAAACUACGUUGUGUACUGUUAACGACUUACAUUGACAAAAUGGUUAAGGACAGAGUUGAAAGAUGAAUCAAACUGUUCGACAUUCGAUUCGAAUUUGACUUGGUAAAAACUUAUUCCAAUUUGAUUUGUCAGCUAGUCAAAUCUAAUUUAAAUAGUAUUUAACUUUGAAACUUGAUAAAAAGUUUGUUCAAACUCAGUUUACUAAAUAAACAAGUCAAAUUUGAACAAAAUUUCAAACUCAUUAAAAUAAUUAAAUACGUUUGAAUACUAGGAUAUUCGAUUUAAUUAAAUGCGAUUGCACCCCUAAUUAAAGCAUGUACUUUUUUUAUAAAUUUAGGAAUCAACAUUAUACAUUUAAUAGCUAGCUAGAGGGUCAAAAAGUUAAUUGCCUUAAAAUUCUUUUAGCAGCCAUAAAGUAUAGUUGGAGGGAUUCCCUUGAAAUUGAUUAGAUUCUUCUAUGUGACUAAAGAAUUUCGGGUGUGACGUAUUACUAGUCCUACCCUAAAAAAAAUGGUAUUACUAGUCCUUUUUUUCUUUUUUAGCGUGCCCCCGCCGUGGAGUGUGGGGAGGGUGGUCUGUGCGAGAAUUCUAGAUGGGGUACAAGGUGCCAAAGUUCACCUUAUUCAAAGUAAACAACCUUCCAUCUCAGAUGUUGAAUUUCCUGGCAAUUGCGUAUAUAUUACAAUCUUUUACCAUGACUUUAGAGGACAGCUAAAUUUGCUUGCUAUUAAAUAAUAUUUUCGGUAGUCUAUAAAUACUCUUGGUCCUAACUGCUUCUUGCACCACAUAAUUCUUUCAAGAACUACCAAAACCUUCUUGAAAUCCCUCUUUUUCCUUUUAGUUCAUUUCCAAGAAACAAAUUGAACCAUCAUGGCCCCUGUCACUUCCAGUUAUGAGGUCACCUGCUCAAUCCCUCCUGCAAGGUUGUUCAAGGCCACCAUCCUUGAAGAGAAGCAUCUUCACAAGAUCUUGCCACAGGGCGUUAAGAGUGUCGAAAUCCUUGAAGGAGAUGGUGGAGUUGGCACAAUUAAGUUGACCACAUUUGUUGAAGGUAAGAUAUCAAUACAAAGUGAUUAUGUUCACAAAUUUGAAGUCUUCAAAUUGCUCACUUUUUUUUUCUUUUAUUUGGGAAAAGCUAAUGACUUUUUUUUUUUUUUUUGGUUGGGUUAAAUAUUUAGGUGGCGAGCUUAAGACUGCCAAACAGAAAGUUGAUGGAAUUGACAAAGAAAAAUUUACAUACAGUUAUACUGUACUUGAAGCUGAUGGAUUUAACGAUGUAAUCGAGAAAAUCUGUUGUGUCAUCAAAUUUGAACCCUCUGCUGAUGGAGGUUCAAUCUGCAAAACCACUAAUACAUACUACCCCAAAGGUGGUGCUCAGAUCAGUGAGGAACACGUCAAGGGAGGAAAAGAGAAGGGUUUGGGAAUGGUUAAGGCUGUUGAGGCUUACCUCCACGCAAAUCCUACUGCCUACAACUAAUUAUAAUGAAUGCUACUGAAGGACUCUUCGACAUAUUUUCUUCAAGAUUGAAGUAUAAACUGAGGGUGUCUGUUUCCUUUUUUGCUUGGUUUGCUUUAAGCUGUUUGGUUGAGUUAUUUGCAGCUAUGAUCAUAAUAUUUGAUCGAAGUGUGCUUUUCUUGCAACCUUUGUAUCGUUACAAGGAAUAAAAUCUUGUUUGGAGCUUUUACUUUGUUGUUUGCAAUGAAAUAAACUAUUUUGGGUUCAAUUUCAUAUAGAGUGAA